rnacentral:lncRNA from 1 species
CCCCGCCCCGCCAACUGCAGGCAGCUUGUGCUACCCUUUGUAGUUUUACGGAAGGUGAAGACUAAGUUCACGCCCCCCCCCCCAGCCCCAAAGCACUCUGGGUGAGCAGCUACUCCUGUGGUUUCUCAUUGGCUCUCUCACUCUCAAAACAGCUCGUUCCCAGCCCCUCCAAGCAUUUCGUGGUCCACGUGACCAAUAGCAGCAAGAAGAAGUGGAGGUUUAUUGUCCGGCUGUACACAGCACAAGCAAGAAAGAGAAAGAAACUAAAGGAAUUAAAUCAGCUUGUCCAGCAGCAAGCUUCAGAGCCAAAUGUAAGGACACCUCAUAAAUCAGACCUCGUGAUGGGUCCGAAGAAGACACACCCAGCAGCUGCCAAAUGAACAGCAGAUGACAGGAAGGGGCCCCUGGCCUGAUGUCUCAUGGGAGGUGAUGGCCUUUUCUGAGUUGAAGAUAGGGAAAUGCCAGAAGGAGCUGAUGAGGCUGUCCCACACACUGACACUGAUGUCAUGAUUGAAUUUCAGUUUUAUCUCUCACCAUAAUUUCUGGGCAGUUAUUGAGAUGAUGAUUCAUAAACACUCCUUACUGUUCUGCAUUGGAUUAAUCAUGGUGUACUGUCUUUUGCUCACCAUUUACAAAGUAUAACACCAUGAGAAACCCUGAAUCUUAAAGUUUCUCUCCACUGGAAUAUAAACAUAUUUUGGGUUAUUUGCAUGGUCUGGUCGCUUCUUUCUCUUACUAGUUGCCAUGAAAGAAUGACAGAAAUAAAAUACGGUUUAUGAGUGGAUGCUGAAUUUAAC